rnacentral:tRNA from 1 species
UAGGCAAAAGCCCGCUGGAUUGGGUGUUUAGCUGUUAACUAAACUGUUGUGGGAUCGAGGCCCAUUUGUCUAG